rnacentral:rRNA from 1 species
CUAUGGAAGGCUUGCUUCCACUGAGAAGAUAGUGGCGAACGGGUGAGUAACACGUGGGGUAACCCUGCCCAUAAGAGGGGGAUAACAUCCGGAAACGGGUGCUAAUACCGCAUAGUUUCUUGAUCGCAUGAUUGGGAAAGGAAAGACGGCCUUUGUGCUGUCGCUUAUGGAUGGACCCGCGGCGUAUUAGUUAGUUGGUGAGGUAACGGCUCACCAAGACGAUGAUACGUAGCCGACCUGAGAGGGUGAUCGGCCACAUUGGGACUGAGACACGGCCCAAACUCCUACGGGAGGCAGCAGUAGGGAAUCUUCCGCAAUGGACGAAAGUCUGACGGAGCAACGCCGCGUGAGUGAAGAAAAGGUUUUCGGAUCGUAAAACUCUGUUGUCAGAGAAGAACAAGUUGGAGAGUAACUGCUCCAGCCUUGACGGUAUCUGACCAGAAAGCCACGGCUAACUACGUGCCAGCAGCGGC